UACGUAGGGGGCUAGCGUUGUCCGGAAUCAUUGGGCGUAAAGCGCGCGUAGGCGGCCCGGUAAGUCCGCUGUAAAAGUCAAAGGCUCAACCUUUGAAUGUCAGUGGAUACUGCCGGGCUAGAGUCCGGAAGAGGCGAGUGGAACUCCUGGUGUAGCGGUGGAAUGCGCAGAUAUCAGGAAGAACACCGACGGCGAAGGCAGCUCGCUGGACCGGAACUGACGCUGAGGCGCGAAAGCGUGGGGAGCAAACAGG
rnacentral:rRNA from 1 species